rnacentral:rRNA from 1 species
UACGUAGGGUGCAAGCGUUAAUCGGAAUUACUGGGCGUAAAGCGUGCGCAGGCGGCUUUGCAAGACAGAUGUGAAAUCCCCGGGCUCAACCUGGGAACUGCAUUUGUGACUGCAAGGCUAGAGUACGGCAGAGGGGGAUGGAAUUCCGCGUGUAGCAGUGAAAUGCGUAGAUAUGCGGAGGAACACCGAUGGCGAAGGCAAUCCCCUGGACCUGUACUGACGCUCAUGCACGAAAGCGUGGGGAGCAAACAGG